UGCAGCGACGCCGCGUGAGGGAGACGGCCACGGGUUGUAAACCUCUUUCAGCAGGGACGAAGCGCAAGUGACGGUACCUGCAGAAGAAGCACCGGCCAACUACGUGCCAGCAGCCGCGGUAAGACGUAGGGUGCGAGCGUUGUCCGGAUUUAUUGGGCGUAAAGAGCUCGUAGGCGGCUUGUCGCGUCGACCGUGAAAACUUGGGGCUCAACCCCAAGCCUGCGGUCGAUACGGGCAGGCUAGAGUUCGGUAGGGGAGACUGGAAUUCCUGGUGUAGCGGUGAAAUGCGCAGAUAUCAGGAGGAACACCGGUGGCGAAGGCGGGUCUCUGGGCCGAUACUGACGCUGAGGAGCGAAAGCGUGGGGAGCGAACAGGAUUAGAUACCCUGGUAGUCCACGCUGUAAACGUUGGGCGCUAGGUGUGGGGGGCCUCUCCGGUUCUCUGUGCCGCAGCUAACGCAUUAAGCGCCCCGCCUGGGGAGUACGGCCGCAAGGCUAAAACUCAAAGGAAUUGACGGGGGCCCGCACAAGCGGCGGAGCAUGCGGAUUAAUUCGAUGCAACGCGAAGAACCUUACCUGGGUUUGACAUGGCCGCAAAACUUCCAGAGAUGGGAGGUCCUUCGGGGGCGGU
rnacentral:rRNA from 1 species